rnacentral:rRNA from 1 species
UACGUAGGGUCCAAGCGUUAUCCGGAAUCACUGGGCGUAAAGCGUGCGUAGGUGGAUGUUUAAGUGUGAUGUUAAAUCGUGUGGCUCAACCAUAUCGAUGCAUCGCAUACUGGACGUCUAGAGGACAGCAGAGGCAAGUGGAAUUUGUGGUGUAGCAGUGAAAUGCGUAGAUAUUACAAGGAACACCAAUGGCGAAGGCAGCUUGCUGGGCUACUCCUGACACUGAGGUACGAAAGCGUGGGGAGCGAACAGG